GACGAACGCUGGCGGCGUGCUUAACACAUGCAAGUCGAACGGAAAGGCCCUGCUUUUGUGGGGUGCUCGAGUGGCGAACGGGUGAGUAACACGUGAGUAACCUGCCCUUGACUUUGGGAUAACUUCAGGGAACUGGGGCUAAUACCGGAUAGGAUCUCCUGCUGCAUGGUGGGGGUUGGAAAGUUUCGGCGGUUGGGGAUGGACUCGCGGCUUAUCAGCUUGUUGGUGGGGUAGUGGCUUACCAAGGCUUUGACGGGUAGCCGGCCUGAGAGGGUGACCGGCCUCAUUGGUACUAAGAUACGGACCAGACUCCUACGGGAGGCAGCAGUGGGGAAUAUUGCACAAUGGGCGGAAGCGUGAUGCAGCAACGCCGCGUGCGGGAUGACGGCCUUCGGGUUGUAAACCGCUUUCGCCUGUGACGAAGCGUGAGUGACGGUAAUGGGUAAAGAAGCACCGGCUAACUACGUG
rnacentral:rRNA from 1 species